UAGGGAAUCUUCCGCAAUGGGCGAAAGCCUGACGGAGCAACGCCGCGUGAGUGAUGAAGGUCUUCGGAUCGUAAAACUCUGUUAUUAGGGAAGAACAAAUGUGUAAGUAACUAUGCACGUCUUGACGGUACCUAAUCAGAAAGCCACGGCUAACUACGUGCCAGCAGCCGCGGUAAUACGUAGGUGGCAAGCGUUAUCCGGAAUUAUUGGACGUAAAGCGCGCGUAGGCGGUUUUUUAAGUCUGAUGUGAAAGCCCACGGCUCAACCGUGGAGGGUCAUUGGAAACUGGAAAACUUGAGUGCAGAAGAGGAAAGUGGAAUUCCAUGUGUAGCGGUGAAAUGCGCAGAGAUAUGGAGGAACACCAGUGGCGAAGGCGACUUUCUGGUCUGUAACUGACGCUGAUGUGCGAAAGCGUGGGGAUCAAACAGG
rnacentral:rRNA from 1 species